AAUCAACGCUGGCGGCGUGCCUCAGACAUGCAAGUCGAACGCGAAAGUUCCCUUCGGGGAGCAAGUAGAGUGGCGCACGGGUGAGUAACACGUAGGUAAUCUACCUUUGGAUGGGGAAUAACAAUCGGAAACGGUUGCUAAUACCGCAUAAUGCAGCGGCACCUAAUGGUGACAGUUGUUAAAGCGGGGGAUCGUAAGACCUCGCGUCUAAAGAGGAGCCUGCGGCGGAUUAGCUAGUUGGUAAGGUAACGGCUUACCAAGGCGAUGAUCCGUAACCGGCCUGAGAGGGCGGUCGGUCACACUGACACUGACAUACGGGUCAGACUCCUACGGGAGGCAGCAGUCGGGAAUUUUGGGCAAUGGGCGAAAGCCUGACCCAGCAACGCCGCGUGAAGGAUGAAAUCCCUCGGGAUGUAAACUUCGCAAGAACGGGAAGAAUAAGUCCGUGCUAACACCACGGAUGAUGACGGUACCGUUUGUAAGCUCCGGCUAACUCCGUGC
rnacentral:rRNA from 1 species